CCGGCGAUGUCCGAAUGGGGAAACCCAGUGCAAUUCGUUGCACUAUCGUUAACUGAAUACAUAGGUUAACGAGGCGAACCGGGGGAACUGAAACAUCUAAGUACCCCGAGGAAAAGAAAUCAACCGAGAUUCCCCCAGUAGCGGCGAGCGAACGGGGAGCAGCCCAGAGUCUGAAUCAGCUUGUGUGUUAGUGGAACGGUCUGGAAAGUCCGACGGUACAGGGUGAUAGUCCCGUACACCAAAAUGCACAGGUUGUGAACUCGAAGAGUAGGGCGGGACACGUGGUAUCCUGUCUGAAUAUGGGGGGACCAUCCUCCAAGGCUAAAUACUCCUGACUGACCGAUAGUGAACCAGUACCGUGAGGGAAAGGCGAAAAGAACCCCGGCGAGGGGAGUGAAAAAGAACCUGAAACCGUGUACGUACAAGCAGUGGGAGCACCUUCGGGUGUGACUGCGUACCUUUUGUAUAAUGGGUCAGCGACUUAUAUUCUGUAGCAAGGUUAACCGUAUAGGGGAGCCGCAGGGAAACCGAGUCUUAACUGGGCGUUAAGUUGCAGGGUAUAGACCCGAAACCCGGUGAUCUAGCCAUGGGCAGGUUGAAGGUUGGGUAACACUAACUGGAGGACCGAACCGACUAAUGUUGAAAAAUUAGCGGAUGACUUGUGGCUGGGGGUGAAAGGCCAAUCAAACCGGGAGAUAGCUGGUUCUCCCCGAAAGCUAUUUAGGUAGCGCCUCGUGAAUUCAUCUUCGGGGGUAGAGCACUGUUUCGGCUAGGGGGUCAUCCCGACUUACCAACCCGAUGCAAACUACGAAUACCGAAGAAUGUUAUCACGGGAGACACACGGCGGGUGCUAACGUCCGUCGUGAAGAGGGAAACAACCCAGACCGCCAGCUAAGGUCCCAAAGUCAUGGUUAAGUGGGAAACGAUGUGGGAAGGCACAGACAGCCAGGAUGUUGGCUUAGAAGCAGCCAUCAUUUAAAGAAAGCGUAAUAGCUCACUGGUCGAGUCGGCCUGCGCGGAAGAUGUAACGGGGCUAAACCAUGCACCGAAGCUGCGGCAGCGACACUAUGUGUUGUUGGGUAGGGGAGCGUUCUGUAAGCCUGCGAAGGUGACCUGUGAGGGUUGCUGGAGGUAUCAGAAGUGCGAAUGCUGACAUAAGUAACGAUAAAGCGGGUGAAAAGCCCGCUCGCCGGAAGACCAAGGGUUCCUGUCCAACGUUAAUCGGGGCAGGGUGAGUCGACCCCUAAGGCGAGGCCGAAAGGCGUAGUCGAUGGGAAACAGGUUAAUAUUCCUGUACUUGGUGUUACUGCGAAGGGGGGACGGAGAAGGCUAUGUUAGCCGGGCGACGGUUGUCCCGGUUUAAGCAUGUAGGCUGGUU
rnacentral:rRNA from 1 species